rnacentral:rRNA from 1 species
GACGAAUGCUGGCGGCGUGCUUAACACAUGCCAGUCGAACGGAAAGGCCCUGCUUUUGUGGGGUGCUCGAGUGGCGAACGGGUGAGUAACACGUGAGUAACCUGCCCUUGACUUUGGGAUAACUUCAGGAAACUGGGGCUAAUACCGGAUAGGAGCUCCUGCUGCAUGGUGGGGGUUGGAAAGUUUCGGCGGUUGGGGAUGGACUCGCGGCUUAUCAGCUUGUUGGUGGGGUAGUGGCUUACCAAGGCUUUGACGGGUAGCCGGCCUGAGAGGGUGACCGGCCACAUUGGGACUGAGAUACGGCCCAGACUCCUACGGGAGGCAGCAGUGGGGAAUAUUGCACAAUGGGCGGAAGCCUGAUGCAGCAACGCCGCGUGCGGGAUGACGGCCUUCGGGUUGUAAACCGCUUUCGCCUGUGACGAAGCGUGAGUGACGGUAAUGGGUAAAGAAGCACCGGCUAACUACGUG